rnacentral:rRNA from 1 species
CCUACGGGAGGCAGCAGUGAGGAAUAUUGGUCAAUGGACGAGAGUCUGAACCAGCCAAGUAGCGUGAAGGAUGACUGCCCUAUGGGUUGUAAACUUCUUUUAUAUGGGAAUAAAAUGUUCCACGGGUGGGAUUUUGUAUGUACCAUAGGAAUAAGGAUCGGCUAACUCCGUGCCAGCAGCCGCGGUAAUACGGAGGAUCCGAGCGUUAUCCGGAUUUAGUGGGUUUAAAGGGAGCGUAGGUGGAUUGUUAAGUCAGUGGUGAAAGUUUGUGGCUCAACCUUAAAAUUGCAGUUGAAACUGGCAGUCUUGAGUACAUUAGAGGUGGGCGGAAUUCGUGGUGUAGCGG